UACGUAGGGCGCAAGCGUUGUCCGGAAUUAUUGGGCGUAAAGAGCUCGUAGGCGGUUUGUUGCGUCUAUCGUGAAAACCUGCAGCUUAACUGUGGGCUUGCGGUGGAUACGGGCAGACUGGAGUACUGCAGGGGAGACUGGAAUUCCUGGUGUAGCGGUGGAAUGCGCAGAGUAUCAGGAGGAACACCGGUGGCGAAGGCGGGUCUCUGGGCAGUAACUGACGCUGAGGAGCGAAAGCGUGGGGAGCGAACAGG
rnacentral:rRNA from 1 species